rnacentral:rRNA from 1 species
GACGAACGCUGGCGGCGUGCCUAAUACAUGCAAGUCGAACGAGGUCCAAGGGAGCUUGCUCCCUGACGACCUAGUGGCGAACGGGUGAGUAACACGUGAGAAACCUGCCCUGGAGUGGGGAAUAACUCGGGGAAACUCGAGCUAAUACCGCAUACCUUCACAUGAUCGCAUGGUCGAGUGAAGAAAGAUUCAUCGCUCUGGGAGGGUCUCGCGGCCUAUCAGCUUGUUGGUGGGGUAACGGCCUACCAAGGCAACGACGGGUAGCUGGUUUGAGAGAACGAUCAGUCACACUGGGACUGAGACACGGCCCAGACUCCUACGGGAGGCAGCAGUAGGGAAUCUUGCGCAAUGGGCGAAAGCCUGACGCAGCAACGCCGCGUGCGGGAUGACGGCCUUCGUGGUUGUAAACCGCUUUCAGCAGGGACGAAAUUGACGGAACCUGCAGAAGAAGCCCCGGCUAACUACGUGCCAGCAGCCGCCGUAAAAC